CACACAAAACAGAAAAAGAAAAAAAAAACAAAGAAAAACCUAACCCUACGUCCGUCUCUUCUUAAAAACUUUCUCUCCCUAUUUUUUCUUUGGAUCUCUUACUUUCUCAUCGUAUGCAGUAUGCUGUGAUCUUGACUCACCUGUUUACCUUCUCGAGCAGCAACAAUAAUUCAGCGAUUUUGGUUUGAUUUGUAGGAUAUAUAUUUGACUGGACUGAAAUUAGGUUUUGGCACAAUAGGGAUGCACAUAUUGUCUCAUACAAAAAUUGAUAGCUAACCUUCGUAUAUUAGUUUUGUGUGUUCUUUUUUUUUUUCCAAUUCUUACUUUACGUUGAACUUAAUUGUAUUGUUGCGGGUUGUUGAUUUUUCAGGGUUUUUUUCACAGGGAUUAAAAUCAGAAAGAUGUGCGACUUAAUCUGAUUGAUUCUGCAAAACGAUUAGGGUUUUUGAGAGACAACAUGGGAUAAAUAAACGGACCUCCAUUCUAUCCAAGGACCGCGAACAAGUACCUCCUUUCUAUCGUAAUGUCAUGUCAUGUUCUCAGCUAACAGCAUUCGAGCUACCAAAACAGUGGGGGGUAAAGAUCUUGUCCUUCUAUGGAGCCUGAAAACGAGAUUGAUCAUAGAAAAACACAUCUCUUUUGGAUUUCGGCCAGGACUGCAUGAUGCAUGAAAAGGCAAUCUAGAACCUCUGCUCAUACUCUGGUGGAGCUACAAUUAAUAGAUCCUUUGAGCUUUAUUGAAGGUGGACGAUUUUUCUUCUUUGCAAAUUAUCAUAGAUCCUUUGAGCUUUAAUUAAGAUAAGCUUGACAAAUGUGGAAGUUAUAGAGAGGCCUAAUUGGAAGGAGUGUCGGAAUUGAAAACUGACAAUCGUGGGCUUGAGGUCUAUGUUUAUGAGCUUGCAUAUAUGUGCUUAUGAAUUUGGGACCUUCAAAGCCUCAUAACAUUGUGCAGAUGUUAAUGGUUGGGAAAUCUGUUGCAACUUAGUACCUAAAUUAGUGAUUGCCGAGCGUUGUGUGCUACGAGUCCAGGGAAGUGAUUGCAUUUAUGCUCUUGCUGAUCGUGCAUCUAUUAAUCUGCAAAGAAUCUUGGUAUAAGCAGGAGUUGCCACGUUCAAGCUAAAGAAGACACCAAACUAUCCACUAGUUGCUUCUACUAAAGCUUUUUUUCCAAAGAUUAUUUCCAUAUUCAUGGUAGUUUUGAUGUUAUAUCCUACGAACAGUAGCAUCAUGUUCUUGAAAAGAGGCGGUGCUGGACACGUCGCCUAUUUAGAAAACUAAAUGUCUUCGUAGACAGGAUGGUGGUGCGUCUACUUCAAAAAACGAACGACUUCGACAGGCUGGUGCUGCUGCACAGACUGAAGAAGAACGAGAACGGCUGCAAGUAAAAUUUGAAGGGGAAGAAAGCUUCUUCAAAGCAACACUCUCAAGUCGGAUUUCGUGUAUGGCCAUUCUGAAAUGGAAUCUCCUAAGAUAAACGUUUGUAUGACAAGUGAUGAUGGUUAUAUAUGCAUCUCAGCAUACUGUUCUACUAAUUGUAAUGCGGCAACAUGAAGUGAUUUAGAAUGUUAUUUUUUUGGUACUGUUAUAGUCUUCCUAAUACUGUGCAACAUGGUUCUCCUAUAUUGUUA